AAUGGACGGAAGUCUGAUCCAGCCAUGCCGCGUGAAGGAAGAAGGCGCUCAGCGUUGUAAACUUCUUUUGGACGGGGACAAACCUGUGGAUUCAUCCGCAGCUGAGGGUACCGUCAGAAUAGGCACCGGCUAACUCUGUGCCAGCAGCCGCGGUAAUACGGAGGGUGCAAGCGUUAUCCGGAAUCACUGGGUUUAAAGGGUGCGUAGGCGGUCUGGUAAGUCAGUCGUGAAAUCGCCGGGCUUAACCCGUGCAACUGCGAUUGAUACUGCCGGACUUGAAUGAGGUUGAGGUAGGCGGAAUGUGGCGUGUAGCGGUGAAAUGCUUAGAUAUGCCAUAGAACACCGAUUGCGAAGGCAGCUUGCUGGGCCUUCAUUGACGCUGAGGCACGAAAGCGUGGGGAGCAAA
rnacentral:rRNA from 1 species